rnacentral:rRNA from 1 species
GACGAACGCUGGCGGCGUGCUUAACACAUGCAAGUCGAACGGUGAAGCGCCUUCCUUUUUGGUGGGUGUGGAUGAGUGGCGAACGGGUGAGUAACACGUGAGUAACCUGCCCCCUUCUUCUGGAUAACCGCAUGAAAGUGUGGCUAAUACGGGAUAUUCUGGGUCUGUCGCAUGAUGGGUCUGGGAAAGAUAUUGUUUCGGUGGGGGAUGGGCUCGCGGCCUAUCAGCUUGUUGGUGGGGUGAUGGCCUACCAAGGCGGUGACGGGUAGCCGGCCUGAGAGGGUGGACGGUCACACUGGGACUGAGACACGGCCCAGACUCCUACGGGAGGCAGCAGUGAGGAAUAUUGCACAAUGGGCGCAAGCCUGAUGCAGCGACGCCGCGUGAGGGAUGGAGGCCUGCGGGUUGUGAACCUCUUUCGCCAGUGAAGCAGGCCUGCCUCGUUUGUGGGUGGGUUGACGGUAGCUGGAUAAGAAGCGCCGGCUAACUACGUG